UACGGGGGGAGCAAGCGUUGUUCGGAUUUACUGGGCGUAAAGGGCGCGUAGGCGGCCAGUGCAAGUCAGUUGUGAAAUCUCCGAGCUUAACUCGGAAAGGUCAACCGAUACUGCUCGGCUAGAGUGCGGAAGGGGCAACUGGAAUUCUCGGUGUAGCGGUGAAAUGCGUAGAUAUCGAGAGGAACACCUGCGGCGAAGGCGGGUUGCUGGGCCGACACUGACGCUGAUGCGCGAAAGCCAGGGGAGCGAACGGGG
rnacentral:rRNA from 1 species